AUAUGGAGAGGAAAUAAGCCUAAUCUUAAGUAUUUUAAGAUAUGGGAUUGUCCAGCUUAUAUUAAGAGAAAUUUUGGAUAUAAGCUGAGUGCUAGAACAGAUAAAUGCUUAUUUGUAGAUUAUUCUAAAGAGAAUAUAGGAUACUUCUUUUAAUACCUUACUGAACAAAAGGUAUUUGUCAGUAAACAUGCCACUUUUAUGAAAAAAAUGUUUAUCCUAGAAAGAGACUGUAGGAA
rnacentral:lncRNA from 1 species